ensembl:lncRNA
CUCCAUUAUAUGAAGAGUCUGUGGCUCCAACAGUAGUUGACGAACUGAUGUGAUAAAGAGUACACCACCGCUGAAACUAAACUCUCUGGUUGCAACUAUAAAUACACACAGUUAUGUGUUUAUAUCUAUGCUAAUUGUGUGAAAUUGCUAGAGCUGUUCAACAGAUUUUCACUUUGAAAAACUGAGGAGAUCAGGAGCUCCUGCAUAUGCAGUUGCAUGUGCAGAUGGGUUGAUAGAGAUGUCGGUGAUUGCGCUGCGCUGAAACAUCCCCUUCACAUAGUCUGCAGUAUGUUAAGGAGCAAGCCAACACUGACAUGGCCAGGAACAGGAAGGUUCAGCAUGAGCUUGAGGAAGCUCAGGAGCGCGCUGACAUCGCAGAGUUGCAGGUCAACAAGCUGAGAGCAAAGAGCCGUGAAAUUGUCAGGGUCAAGGAGACAUGAAUGAACCGCAGUCUGGAUGAAAUCACACAAUAUGAGCUUUUUUGUCUGAUGUACCAACUACGUGACAAGAAAUAAACACACAAGCAGUUGAAUAUCUUUAUAUGUCGUAUGCUUUAAAUAAUGCUUAACUCAAAAGAAGUAGACAUGAAGCUAGUUAUUCAGAGACAUUACGGUCAUCAAAGUUAAACAGUUAUUUUUUUUAAAUAUUUGUAGGAGUGCUCGAGAGCUCCAAACGCAUUUCUCAAAAUGCGUCAGGAUUUAAAGGUGUACUUACACUUGGUGCACCUCUGCACAAGUUAAACAAUACAUAUAGAACCUAAUAACAGUGAACUGAAAUGCUCUUUUAUGUGUGUGGUGGUCUAAAUGUGGGCUGCACAGCUUCAUCACUCGCAAUAACCUGGUUGUCAACUGUCACCUGUUAUCACAUAGAAGUUCUUUAGGCUAUGAUAACUGUAAAUCUGUUCCCUUUGGUGAUAAUGUUACUGACAGUGUAGUGACCUUACAGUUUUUCUAUGUGCUCCAGCACAUAUGUUGCACCAUGUCACGACGUUGUGUGAUGAAAAUAGACCCAUCAGUGACCCACAACCUGCAGCAACACUCCUCCUCGUGCUUAAACCCGAGCAGUGUCUUGGCAUUCACCGUCACUACAUCUCAAAUUAUUGCUUUUUAUUUUAAUAAAAAGAAAAUCAUGGAAAACCCAAUAGAAACCUGAAGUAUUCUGGAAAGCUAGCAAAGUACAGAAAAGCUAAAGUAAUAUUGUAAUAUUUUAUUAAAGCAGAGUGAGGAAAAACAAGAUAUUUAAUGUGGAUGUUACUGCAGGU